rnacentral:rRNA from 1 species
UACAGAGGUCCCAAGCGUUGUUCGGAAUUAUUGGGCGUAAAGGGUGCGUAGGCGGUAGGAUAAGUUAGAUGUGAAAUGUCGGCGCUUAACGUCGAACCUGCAUUUAAGACUGUCCUGCUUGAGCGCUAGAGAGGAGUCUGGAAUUUACGGUGUAGCAGUGAAAUGCGUAGACAUCAAGUGGAACACCAGUGGCGAAGGCGAGUCCCUGGACAACUCCUGACACUGAGGCACGAAAGCGAGGGGAGCAAACAGG